rnacentral:piRNA from 1 species
AAGGGCGUUAAGGAUCGCGUGAAGG